AUCGAACGCUGGCGGCAGGCCUAAUACAUGCAAGUCGAACGAGUGGCGGACGGGUGAGUAAUGUCUGGGAAACUGCCCGACGGAUGGGGAUAACUACUGGAAACGGUAGCUAAUAACGCAUACAAUCCGAUUUGCCCAGUUGGGAUUAGCUAGUAGGUGAGGUAACGGCUCACCUAGGCGACGAUCCCUAGCUGGUCUGAGAGGAUGACCAGCCACACUGGAACUGAGACACGGUCCAGACUCCUACGGGAGGCAGCAGUGGGGAAUAUUGCGCAAUGGGCGCAAGCCUGAUGCAGCCAUGCCGCGGGUAUGAAGAAGGCCUUCGGGUUGUAAAGUACUUUCGGCGGGGAGGCGUUACCCGCAGAAGAAGCACCGGCUAACUCCGUGCCAGCAGCCGCGGUAAUAC
rnacentral:rRNA from 1 species